UGGGGAAUUUUGGACAAUGGGCGAAAGCCUGAUCCAGCAAUGCCGCGUGUGUGAAGAAGGCCUUCGGGUUGUAAAGCACUUUUGUCCGGAAAGAAAUCCUUGGCUCUAAUACAGUCGGGGGAUGACGGUACCGGAAGAAUAAGCACCGGCUAACUACGUGCCAGCAGCCGCGGUAAUACGUAGGGUGCAAGCGUUAAUCGGAAUUACUGGGCGUAAAGCGUGCGCAGGCGGUUUGCUAAGACCGAUGCGAAAUCCCCGGGCUCAACCUGGGAACUGCAUUGGUGACUGGCAGGCUAGAGUAUGGCAGAGGGGGGUAGAAUUCCCACGUGUAGCAGUGAAAAUGCGUAGAGAUGUGGAGGAAUACCGAUGGCGAAGGCAGCCCCUGGGCCAAUACUGACGCUCAUGCACGAAAGCGUGGGGGAGCAAAACAGGAUUAGAUACCCUGGUAGUCCACGCCCUAAACGAUGUNAACUAGUUGUGGGGAUUCAUUUCCUAGUACGAGCUAACGCGUGAAGUUGACCGCCUGGGGAGUAC
rnacentral:rRNA from 1 species